CCACAUAUAAUUUCAACUUGCUAGCUGUGUUUCGCUUCCUUUCUUACUCCAUCACAAAUGAUAUGAACAUCUUAGGUUAUUUAGCCAUCUUAGGAUCACCCUCGUAGGAGUGCUACCUUCAACUCUCUACUCAACUUGGCUCCAUCUCGGAUAGGCUUAUCCCACCUCUGCUCGGCUUGACUCGAGGCUUGUUGAAGUGGCUAGUGUAGCCCCCACAUUGGUGACGUGACUGCUGACUAGCCUGAUGAUGUCAUUCUAACAUCAUUGAGGAUGUCAUCUCCUGUUUUCGGGUCAGCCAAUAUUGGUUAGGUCACUGGUUUCGGGUUGGGUUGCUGUUUCUGGGUGAAGACGAGAUGUGGACGGGCAUGUGGCACGUUGGUGCGUGUGGGCAGGCUCCUCACCGACAUGUGUUGGCGCAUGGGUUACUGCUCGACCUCCGUUGUGCGCUCAGGUUUCACCGUUGUGUUUGUCUCGACAUUCUCUUUGAAGUGGUACGUCCAGAAAAUAUUAUGUACAACUUUCAUUUCUAGGCAAAAAUAAAACACAUGUUUUCUUCAACCAAAGCUUUAGCAUCAAUUGUUAGGAUUGUUUGAUCUUCGACCAGAGACUGAACGCAAUAUUUUAACGUGGUUUCUGUAACUUGUCUACAUCCAAGAAACAACGAAUAUUAUUAUAUGAAGAGAAAUACUCAAAUCUAGAACAAAAGAGUUUGAGGAAAACCAUCAACUCUACUCCUACUGUCAAGUGAUUUGCCUCACAUCUCUCUCUCACUGCAGCUGCUGCCCAAGCAGCUUCUUUCUCCCUCUCUUACUGCUUACUCUAACUACUCCGCAUGACCUCUAUUUAUAGUUGAAAAUGAUCAGGACAUAUGCAUCCCAUUUUCACCCACAAAUCUUUCUUUGAUUUGCAGCAUGAAUUCAGCCCAACAAAUCACACAAAUCACCCCUUGAUUUGCAGCCAUGAUUUCAGCCCAUUGUUGACUCAUUAAUUUCUAGCCUUUCUUGAAGCCUUGUUUACAUCUCAUCGAAGCUAUAAUUGUGUGAAUUUGUCUCCACACUCAACAGAUUGCAUGCUGACUAAAUGGCAAUGAUGAUGAAGAGGAGGAUGCUAAGGACAACAAAGAUGACAUGAAAUCUCGCGGUUGCCUUCCCAUCGUUAUUUCCGAAGUUAUCACUCCAAAACUAUAGACAUCACAUUUUUCACUAACUUUCAUUGUGUGGGCCCUCUCUGAAAUAGAUUCUGAUCAUGCUGUUAUCUUUUGAAGAAUGGCCAUGCAUUACUGUUAAUUCAAGUAAUGUUUCACCAUUGAUAACAUCCAUGGCCAAAUAUAAUUGAAAUUCUUUAAUCAUCAUUUUCGAUGUAAUAUUGCCAUGUUAUUGAUCUUAAAUUAAAUUCUGCAAUAAAUGCCUAGAAAAUGCACACCAUCUGAAAUAAUGAUUUAUGCUGCUCAUAACGUCUCAUUUUUCAAUAGAAUUAAUAAAACAAAAACCAAUUGAUUAGGAAGCUAACUCACCUGGAGCUUUGUGCCCUACAGUGCCCGCAAAUGAGGUUCAAUUAGAAGAGUCAGGCAGUUUGAGCCUAGCUGUGCCAAAAGUCAGAG
rnacentral:lncRNA from 1 species